UACGAAGGGGGCUAGCGUUGCUCGGAAUCACUGGGCGUAAAGCGCACGUAGGCGGCUUUUUAAGUCAGGGGUGAAAUCCUGGAGCUCAACUCCAGAACUGCCUUUGAUACUGAGAAGCUUGAGUCCGGGAGAGGUGAGUGGAACUACGAGUGUAGAGGUGAAAUUCGUAGAUAUUCGCAAGAACACCAGCGGCGAAGGCGGCAUCCUGGACUGGUCCUGACACUCAGGAGCGAAAGCGUGGGGAGCGAUCCGG
rnacentral:rRNA from 1 species